GGACUCGUCUGUCUGUCGGCCCCCAGGGGUUUGCACAGUUGGACGGGUCCAUCCUCGAGGGUAACGGGAUACAUUUCGGUGUGUUUCCGGGAACUCGUCAUUUACUGUGAGCAAAACAGAGUGUUCAAAGCAGGCUUACGCCGUUGAAUACAUUAGCAUGGAAUAAUAAGAUAAGACCUUGGUCUAUUUUGUUGGUUUGUACUCCAAGGUA
rnacentral:rRNA from 1 species